CGCCGCGGCCGCCCCGCCACAGCCACGGGGGGAGGAGGCGGCAGCGCGCCUGCGCCGCCGGGCGCUGCCGGCGAGGGAGGGAGGGAUGGACCCGCCGCUUUCCCGGCUCCGAGGCCGGCCGUAUGGGCAGUGUCUUCCUUUGGAACUGGCUGGCGUGUUGUGAAUAUUAAUGGAAAAAAGGAAUGUUCCCAAACAGAACCUGAAGCCCAAGAGAAUGAAUCUUUCCAGUAACUCCUGUAAAAAUGCACAAGAGACUUUGAACAAAAACAUGGCCUGAAGAAAGUUAAUGAAGUUGUUAAUAGUCUGUGUCACAAAUGAGAAGACUCUGGAUGAUUCUGGUUUCUUCCUCGAGGCCUUGAUGAGUCAUGAAAAUGACAGAAAGCUAAUUUUUCUAAUGGAGUAGGUUCUGUAAGUAAAAGAAGAGGAAAAAUCAAAUAAAAAACUAUAAUACAGACAUCUGAUGACAAGAGCUACUACUGGUGAUGACCAGUGUGUUGUAAGCCAGAAUUUUCAUGAAUCUUAAUGGACAUUUUGACCUAAUUUACAGUGUCUUCCUUGUUAAUUAUUUUUUUUAGAAAGGUCAAACCCUUUUUUUUUCCACUAAAGGUCAUGUACUUCAACUAAGAAAUCUUUUCUCGUCUACACAACAAUAUAGCAACAUAAAAUUCAGGUGUUUUUCAUUCUGAACAUAUUAAUGGAUGAUGAGCAAUAUGCCUGGAGUAUUUCACACCCCUUUGCCCUGUCCUCAUUAAAUAACUCUUUUUUGUGUUGUGUGUGUGGAUGAUCCCAGGGUUUUGCAGUUAUCCAGCAGCAGGCUGGAGAUGGAGGUAAUUUCACAAAGAAGGAAAAUGAUAUUCCAAAAACCCACAUGGACCUGAGAAGCGUGAGAAGAAUGCUCCUUGUAAAACAAGGGUGCCACAUUUAGAUAAAAAACUUUGAUUUCAGUAUCAGAAAUGCUGUGGACAUUUCAGUUGAAUUAUGCAGCUCUUGGUCAGUCAGAUCAAGUGGUACCUAAGGGCUCCCAGGCCUUAUGUCAAGCACACCUCAAAUGGGAAUGGCACUGCAGGAAUAUUGACAUUUUCAAAUCAUUCUUCCUAUUUGAAUAACAGCUGAAUGAACUGCCCCUUAAAAAAAAAAACAAAAAACAAAAACAAACAAACAAAAACGCCUAAAGAAAUAAAACAAAAAAUGCUUUUUCAUGGUAUUGGUGAACUUGCUCAGAAAUAUUGAAGGAACACAGCAAACUAGAGUGGUCACAGGACUUGAAAUAAUGUAGGGGGAAAAAACUACCACUGUCCUAACUGGGGAAUUUCUCUGACAGGAAACUAGGAUCCAUUCCACUUCUUGAUUUCUUCAUGCAAACUGCAUUAAAUAUUUUAUAAAACCUGAGUGAUUUCCUUAACAGAAUUUUGGCAAUUUAAAGCAAAACAUGUUGCUAUGACAGUUCCUACAAAUCUUUUAGCUUUGUUUUGUAUUAUAAAUAUGUCAAAACAAAGCCAUUUCUGUCCAAACAAAGAUUUUCCAGGCUUUUAAAAAAUAUUUCUUAUUUGCUGAAGUCAAGAUGAAGGAUCAUUUCAAAUGCUGUAACUUAGAUCUGCAUAACCAUAAACCCACAAGGACAUAGCUUUAGUCUUAUAAAUAAGUAAUGUCAUUAGAUACAGUAUUCUUAUUUUAAUUGACUUUGUUUGCUACUCUGUAUAGCAUUGAUUGAAAAAUAAAAGUCAUUUAACAUCAGUGAAA